rnacentral:rRNA from 1 species
UACGUAGGGAGCAAGCGUUGUCCGGAAUCAUUGGGCGUAAAGCGCGUGUAGGCGGCUUGGUAAGUCCGCUCUGAAAGCCCGGGGCUCAACCCCGGGAGGCGGGUGGAUACUGUCAAGCUCGAGUCCGGAAGAGGCGAGUGGAAUUCCUGGUGUAGCGGUGAAAUGCGCAGAUAUCAGGAGGAACACCAAUGGCGAAGGCAGCUCGCUGGGACGUGACUGACGCUGAGACGCGAAAGCGUGGGGAGCAAACAGG